GGAUGAACUACUCUACUUAAACCCUCUGAAUGAAACCACUGAUGACUCCCAGUAACUGCGGCCCGUCCGACUAGUCCUUCUCCUACUAUAUUGAUUUGACUUUCCAUCAUCAUUUUGUUUACAAGCAAUUGCACUCUCUCCCCUGCUUGAUUCAUAAGCUGAGGAUUACGUACCUCCCCCGGACCCCAGCAAACGCCCCAAUCAUGGAACGGCAGUUCCGGAUUCUCAACCAUCGGAACUCCAUGAAUACCGGAGUAUGUUGAUGGUUCAU
rnacentral:misc_RNA from 1 species